AAAAAUUAUAUAUUUAAAGAAUAAUAAAAUCAAAAUCAGUAUAUUGCAACAAUAUGGGAGUUUUAGAUAAUAAUGUGUAUACAAUCCUUACUUUUUCUACUCUUAUUUUGUGGAGGUACGAUGGCUACUCUCGGGAAAAAACAAAAAACAAAAAACAGAAAGAAAAUGAUAAUAAGGCUUACUUGGGAGAAACCAAGAACACCAUCAAAAGGUCCAUGCUUUGACAUAAAAUCUUCUAUGUAUCCUAGGCAUUCUUCAAAGUUGUAAUACUCCGUGAAAUAGUAGUAGUAAAUUAAGGAUAUGAAGAAGCAAUUGUUAAUACUUAAUGCCUUAUUUGAUUGAAACCAUUCAAAAUAAGAAGGAUCGAAGAAACCCUCAAGUGCAGAUUUUCCCUGUGCUGGAAAAGGUGCAUCCAAAAAACCAAAUCUAAUUUAUCUACGACGGAUUCCGGCCACUGAAAAAUCAUAUUUUUGAGGAUUUCAGCACUGCCUCUUAAGCCACGGAGGCAGAGAAUUCUUAGUUUCUUCUUCUCUGAUUCUUUCUCCAUUGUUAGGUAGCCUUUGUUUAGAUAUAUCUUUUAAUUUUCUUGGAAAUUGUAAGACCAAUUAGCAUUAUAUGACUGGUUGCCACGUGGACUGUUUAAGUACUAGC
rnacentral:lncRNA from 1 species